rfam:Glossina pallidipes unplaced genomic scaffold Scaffold191, whole genome shotgun sequence.
GGGGGUCGUUUUUACUACGUAAGCGCCAUGAAUGGCGAAUCGUGCAUGCUGCUACUAAGUACCAGCAGUAUCUUUUGAAGAUUUUCUACCUCC